rnacentral:miRNA from 10 species
GAUCUCCCUGAGUGUGUGUGGUGAUGGCUGUUUAACCUGGGUGCAUUGAUUAGUCAAUGCAUAACAGGUGUGCAG